rnacentral:ncRNA from 3 species
CGCAUAUGAUUUCAAGCAACUCGUAUAUCUUCGGGAAUCGGCCCGAAAGUUUCUACCUGGCGACCUUAAUCGCCGGACUACGGGAUGCCGGAAGCAGGCU